CCUCCAAGCAUGUCUCAGUUUCUCCAUCUGUAAAAUUAGACAAUGAAAUGAAUGUUAUUUAUAAGAAACCUGAGGGAAAUCCUUCUGAUUAUCUUCACUGAAACAAUGCGAAUGAAUAUUUUUGUGGGGGCUCUGCCUUGCUCUCUUCCUGGGCUCACUCUUGCCUAGCGCCUUCUUAUCUGCUCGAGGGGUUUUUCAGACCACAGCCUUCUCAGUGCUUGUUAAUGGGUUGUGUUCCCAUCUCACCUUCUUGUUAACACCAUCCCCAGCUCUAGGAAAAGAGGCGGUGGCCUUGGGAACUCUUUAUGCCAAAAUAAACAACAAAGUUUGGAAACAUUUAGACCAAGAUAAUUAGGAAAAUGGUGUUGAAUAAAAGAUAGCAUUAGAAUUGCUACCAUGCUUAAGUUAGAAUCCGGUUCCAAAAAGCACAAUCUCCAGUUAACUGAUCUGUUGUAAAUUUUUUUUUUCUUUUUGGUUUAGUUUUGUUUUUUAAAAGAUUUAAAUUGUUUAAAUCUUCUGAUCACUCCUGUCAGUUAAGGUUUCUUCCUCAUUGAGAAGUCACACUGGGGGGAAAAAAAUGUGCCCACAGCUGUUUACUAUUUAGCAACACUAUUAAAGGAACACUAUUUAACAAUAAUUCAUGAAGCUCCCUACUCAGAAAAAAAGACAGCUCCUCUGAACUAUCUACCUAUAUAAUACAAAUUUAUUUUCUUGAAAUUGCAAAAACCCGCAUGUUGAGACAAACAUAUAAAUUGCCAGGAUUUUUGUGUUCUUUCAGAACUUAAAUAUAACCAAACGAUUUUGGGCAAGGAAUCAGAAAUUCUUUAGAACGGAAAUGUUGAAACCCCAGAUUCAGUUCUAAAACUCAUCUUUCAAAAAGAAUUCAUGCUCUGAAAAAUGCAGCGUUUUUAUGUUUGGUAUGAUAACAGCCCCAUGGAAUUAUCACAUCAUAUCUUGACGAUCGUUACGGAGCGGUGAUGAUCUCUUAGGCAUUAACCCAGGAUUUUCUCCAAUAAUAUUAUCAUUUAUAACAGCAAUAACAUUUUGUAGAUCACAGAGUGCUUUUAACAUAUUAUCUGAUGGGAUACCUAAAACCCUAUAACCUGUGUAAGAAAAUCAAGGGUGAAAUGAGUAAGUUGUCUAAAGUGACAAGCCUAUUCCAGACAGGGCCCAGCGUUUUAGGACUUCAGUCCAAGUUCUUUUCACUACAUGAUAUUAAGACUAUCCUUUAUCAUCGAGUAUUUUCCUGUAAAAAUAAUUCAUUUGGAAAGAUGAAGAAACACAUAAAGCCUCCAUCUCUUGCCUCUGUGAACCUCUCGGCUCUCACAUCCCACACACGGGCCUCCGUUUUGAGUGCAUGUUUUCGUAUUCACCCUCACAGCACAUUCCCAGCUUUAAAUAGUUGUCUCCCAUCUUGUAUGAAUGUACAUUUGUGAUCACAGAAAGGCCUUCUCAGUUACCAGCACUGUUUUUACUGCUGGGAACAAAAUCAUUUCAAACAAACAGCUUUUUUUUUUCUUCGCUCCUUCACUCUUAACCCCCAGCCUCAGUAGCACUACGAGGAGAUGUACCGGACAAGCAGCAGGCAGGCCUACAAUGCCCGCUCUGUCUUUCCCCUGCAGACCCUCCAAACUAGCAGGGGUGCCUGCCAAGAGGGGGUGCCUCAGCUCCAGUGGAUCGCAGCUUCAGCAAAUGGCACUGCUCCCUCCAAGGGAGCCCUCCACCUGUGCCCCCAGUGUGGAGACAGGGAGCACUCUUCACUCUCAGGAGCGGAUGUUCACUACUUUCACUAGUGGUCCUAGCAAAGUUUCAAACUGAGCUACUGAGUGGGAGACAGAUUCGUACCAAUGGAGAAACUGGUUCUUCCGCUUUCUAGAUUUCAUGCCACCAUGAUGACUGGGAUGUCCCAUUGUUCCCCCUGGGCAAACCGGAAAUCCAUUUUACUGUUAGAAAUACUAGAUCUUUAAAAAAUCUGUUUAUUCUGGAGUCAGUCACACACAGGGCAAUCUAUGUGAAAGAAAAGAGGAAGGAGCAGUUGCAUAAUUGUCAUACCAUCCAUCAUGUUCAUUCUCACACUGACCAUGGUUUUUAAUGUCUGUCCACCUGCAGUCUGUGGCCUCGCCAGACAGUAAGGGCAGCGCCCUGGAAGUGGGGGAUUUAUCACUUGCCAGUAGGUUUACUCUUGGGGAGACGCUGGGGUUUUAUCUCCAUGCCCCUGGAGAAUUGACUUACUGAAUGCUUCCCUUGAAGACCUAAGUCACUGGUUCUUCAGCCCCUUUGCAUAGUCCUCUCACUGAAAUCAGAACUGAAUUUGUUCUUUUUCAUUUUUGGUUAAGAAGAUGCACAUUAGAAGACAGCUCAGAGCAAUGGGGCUGACCUAGUGGGAAAAGACACUGGUUUCUUUUCACGUUUCUGGAUGGCCCGUGGCCCACAUCUGCCAGCAUCUUCGCACGUGUCCACAGCACCAGUCAGCCUCACCCACCUUGUCUUUCCCUUUGCGAUCUUAGAAAGAAUUUGGUAGAAAUGGGAACCGAAGAUUGAGCAGAAAGUAUAAUUACCACAUGUAUUUACCAGCUCAUUUUCAAGAGCAGUAAAAGUACACUAAACAUUCUGCUUGUACAUACACUAGCACUUUAAAACUACCAGCUUUCUAAAACAUGGUUUUGAUUUUUGGAGCAAACAUUCAAUUGCUAUUCUUUGAUAUUAUUGAUUUAUAAACAAAAUGAUCAGCAUUCCCUAAUGUCUCGAAGCAAAGAAAUUAGGGUAACACAUUUAAAAUUUAUCAGUUUGAAACUUUCUAAAUACUCUUCCUUAAUAAUAACCACAAUACACUGAAAAUGUCAAGUUCUGUAAAAAAUGAACAGGGACGCGAAUGUGUCGGGCUUCAUUUUGAAGACCCAGCGUGUUUCUCAUCCUCCCCAGGAAGGGAAGGUUGAAAUCAUGAAGUUAACAUCUGCCUUUUCGUAAACACCACCUCAAAGUGCUCUUUCUCUUAGGUUGGAGGCUGAAAGAAAGAAGCACAAAUCUUCCCUGGGCCAAGAGUUUCAUCAUAAGCCCUGUGUGAUCAAUAAGUACAUUGUGGUGGUUAUUUCAUAGCUGAUUAACUUAUAUGUCUACAAGCCAACACUUGACUUGAAAGGCUGGUCGGGUUGCUCGCCGUGCGAGCAUGGCCUUUACCAGCCUGCCCUGGCAGCCAGCUCUGGGACUGCUCACUCCUGACCACAACCCGGGUACAGCCCUGAAGUUUCGUCGUGAGUAACCCGUCAGCAGGAGCCCAUGCCUCUCUGAAAGGGCAUUUUGUCUUUUUUGGCAGUACCAAAUGGCAGGAUAAUUAGUGUUAGGGAGGGAAAAAACAGAAUUGAAAACCACAUCCGAUACCUGGUUAUGGACUCUUCAACUUUGUGGAGGCAGAAAAUGUGGUGGCUUUAUUUUUCUUAAUAAAUGCAGACGGUUAUAAGCAAUUGAGCAUUUAAUGAUGAGAUGAUGCUGAAAGGCAUAACUUAAUAAAAAUUGCCUCUGUGUUUCUCACUUCAUGGUUGAAACAGACUGUGCUUCUCGGCUUUUUCUGUAAUCAGGUUUAUAUCAGAUUGUCCUUUAAUUCACGUUAAGAUCUUACAUCUUAGUACUUCCUCUUAGAGUUUUUGUAUUCCUCCUUGCAAAGUCUCUGUUUCAUUUUUAGGGAAAGGGUUUCCUAUAGUUUUUUUUUCGUCUCCAGUGUUGCUUUUAAUUUCACCAAUUAUGGAGUAAAUAAAUCAUUGUGUACUUGGAAGAAAAAUUGGCAGGAGAGCAGAAUAUGUUAAGGACUCUUGCUUUUCAUUGUGAGCGAGAUUUCCCAACUGGAGCGUCUCUGUUUUAUUUUGCCUCUGGCUAACAUCUGAAGAUCAGUAAUAAAGCUCUAUGCAAAUACUUUCAUGUAUUAAAAGAACAAUAUUUUGACACUCAUUGACACAAGCAAAAAAAAUACAACAUUAAAUUAGUGUUCAGGCAAACAAUGAAGACAUUGUUCAUUCACAUGAAAUGCAUGUGAAAAAUGCUGUGUUAUAUUAACAGAAAAGCUUGCUCCUCAGAACUCGACCUUUAGCACUGGCGUAAAUGACAUUACUUAUGGUGCUGUAUAGUAUUAGACAGGCUUUCUUGUUAACAGUCUUGAGCAGCCGUUGAUAACUUGUCAGACUACUGAGAAUUUUAGUCACCAAAAAAUAAAUGUUCAUUCUCAGUACCUGAUAAUUUAAGUUUCUCACAGAUUUUUUAAAUUAUCUUUUGGAUAUUUUAGAGUUUUCAAAUACUCGAUAAGUUAAAUACUUUAAAAGUGUUAAUUCAUUGUAGGCUUUUUCUACUUGUUUUUCCAGAUUUCAUCUAGAAUUAAGUAGACUUAAUUUUUUAAAAACUCCCUUGAUCAUCUAUAAUGUGUUUUUAAAAUAAUUGAACUUCAAGGUACGCUCUUGAUUUUUAUUCUGAAUCUUGGAGAACACAGGGGGCCUUUUGUUUAAUUUUCAGUCAUGUGGACAGGCCCUUCCAUGGAAGGGGAGGUUUCUCUAGAUGACUCUUUGCAUGUAUGUAGUAGAAUUUCUUUCCUCCUUUAUCACUACACUCAAAUGUUACAGUUACAAUCAUUGUUUUCUUAAAUACAACUGGCUUCCCUUUUCAUCUGUGUUGAUCCAGGACAUUGCAGAGUCAGCAUCUGGGAAAUCAUUAUGCCAACAGACCAUCCCAGUCCCGGGUGAGGUCAAGUUAGUAAGAGCAAUUGGACCACCCGAAAGAACAAAGCUCAGAUACUCCUCAUAGUGGGACAUUCUCAGAUUAGCAAACAAAAAUUAAAAGAAGAAUGAUUAAAUCUAAUUAUAUUCAGCAUGUUUUUCAGAGUACUGAGUGGAAGAGUGACUUUUAACUUGACAUCUAGAUUUUUGUGAAUGAAGACACUGGGGAAACACAUUUGAAAUGAGUUUUAACCAACAAGUUGCAUAGGACACUAGGUUCCCAGUUACAAAGACGGUGCAUGUCCCAGCCUGCCAUCUUUAGAGGCGCUCAAGGGUGGGCGGUCCUCGGCGGUGGGGACUGCGGGGGCCAUGGGUUGAUGACACCCUCAUGAGGACCCUGAGUACUCCUCCUCCUCUGGUGUACUGGGUUGUCUCCUCUGUGUUCCCACAGCUCCUUUCACACUGGCCCCUCUCCCAUCAUUUUAGUGGCUGGCUGGGCAAGUGGCCAUCUUCCCCACUGGAUACUGAGGUCAACAGGUGGUGACUUAUCCCCCCUGGAGCUCCCUUCUUACCACUGAAUACAGAGCUGAUACACAACUGGUCCCAUAUACUCGUGGUCCAGAAGUCCUAUUUGCUCUUUAUCCAAACUUGUUUGCUAAAGGAGCAGAAACCAACUCAAAGAAAUUCAUGGAAAACGGGAUUUUUUGUAAGGAGCCUCAGGGCACCUCGCAGGAAUGGGAAAGGAGGAUCUGCUUUCCUCUGUGUCUGCACAUCUCCCUCACUCCCUCCCUCCUCGUGGGCUCCCUUUCCCACUCUGCUGCCCACACAGGUCUUCAUGCCUCCCAGUCUCUCCAGCUGGCUCCGCCCCGGUGACAGUCUCACGCCUGGGUGCUCAGCCCUUUCCUGCUGUUUCUGCCUCUGGGUCUCUUACUGCAAAUGUCUUUGACAUUCCCAUUGGCCCAGAAUAUGUUAGGUCUCCAUCCAUGGAAACCGAAGGGUGUUGGGGGGUGGGGGGCUGGGGCGCAGUAGGCACAGGGACACAUCACCUGGUUUAAAUACACCUGGCUUGACUCACUCCUUCAUCAAGAGCAGUGUGUGGGGACAGUCUUAUUAGGAGGAAGGUUUUAGAAAGGAGCCAUACCUGAUAGUUCCCUGAUAACUACCUGAAGCCUCUGUCCCAAAAGUUAUUUCUUAAAUCAGAUUUGGACUUUUAAAACGCUUUUUCCUAUAUAAAUGUUUAAAGCACGUAGGCCAGGCACAGUGUCUUCCCUGUCUGUUCCUACGUGGUCUAUCGCCAGACUCUAGCACAGUGCCCAGCAACUAGCAGGCACACUGUAAACAUUCAUUUCUUGUCUGGUCAGGUCCCCAGGUUAGCUCACAAAAGUCCACACAGCUAUUUGUAACCAGCACGUAGAAUUGAGUUUCAACAAGAAAAUGUAUUCUACACACAGCCAUUAGGAGAAUGCACAAGAGCAUCAUGCAGUCGCAAGAAUACAGGAAAGGGAGUUGAGGUUCCAGCCCCAGCUCUAACACUUAGCAGGUGUAUGACUUCAGGUGAACCAUUUAAUCUCUCCAGUUUCAGCUGCUUCAUCUUUAACAUUUGUGGAAUUGAAUGACAACACCUCUAAGGCCCCUUCCAGCUAUUAAAUUCUGUGGCUGUGACUAACAUAAUCAGGAUUUAAUUCACUCCACCCUAUCAGUCUUCCUUCCCCAUGCUAUUUAUGGGUGCAAGAGUUUGGUUGUGGAGAUGAACUACACAUUCUCCUGGGCACCAGUAACUCCCUCAAGAUACGUAAUCAUCAUUGUCAUCAUCCUGAUGAAAAAAUUAGCCGGGCGUGGUGGCGCACACCUGUAGUCCCAGCUACUCUAGAGGCUGAGGCGUGAGAAUCACUUGAACCCGGGAGGCAGAGGUUGCAGUGAGCUGAGAUCGUGCCACUACACUCCAGCCUGGGCGACACAGUGAGACUCCGUGUCAAAAAUAAUAAAUACAUAAAACAGCCCCCUGAGGUAGGGAUUAUUAUUAUUUUUUGAGAAAAGGCUGGUCUCUAACUCCUGACCUCGGGUGAUCCACCUGCCUUGGCUUCCCAAAGUGCUGGGAUUACAGGCGUGAGCCACCGCGCCUGUAAUCCAGAAGUCACCCAGUGAAUAGUGGGGCUGGAGCUUAGACGCGGGUUUCUGAUUCCCAGCCCAAGCUCUAGACACAGAGUUUCUCAGCGCGCUUCCCAGAUCAGCAGCCUCCUGCUUCACCCUGGAACUUGCACAUUCUCCAGCUCCACCCAGGCCUAUUGAAUCUGUAGCUCCAGGCCUCAAGGGGGCCAGCAGCCUGCGUUCUAAUCUUCCAGAGGAUUGCAGUGCACACUUCUAGCCUGACAGAUGAUUCUAAUGCACGCUAACGUUUGAGAACACCUACCCCCUCUGCAGCACUACAUUUCACCAAACUCCAGAGGGUUUCUCAGGUGUUUACUCCCAGGUAUUCCAAUUGGGGAGAGAGUGUGGUAUGAGUGCCCAUUUGUGGAUGGAUGAGGCAGGCAGGCAUUCAAACGUCAAGUGCCUGUAAAUUAGGAGCUAGUUGUGCUACUUUUCAAACACUCACUCUCUCCCAGUUGUCAUCGCUGAUGAAAUCACUACUGAAGAAGUCAGGAGGUGGAGAUAAUGACCAAGAAGGGAGGAGGGGCCAUUAUUCCUCCAGCCGUGCUGUGGAGAAAAUGAGGAGGCCUUCUCCAAGAAGCCCCGGCAGAGAGUUUUAGCAGGAUAAGCAAACAGGAUUAGAGUAGGGUGUCACAUAGCAAGGUUCCUUCUCCCUCUUGAACAUAAGGCUGGCUCUGUAGCCCCACGCAGCCCAGCGUGGUAGCCACAGCCUUGUGUGUCUGCUGAGCACUCAAAUUGUGCCUCUUCUGAGUGGAGAUGUCCUGUGAGGACAAAAGACAGGCUACACUUCAAAGUCUUGGUACAUAGAAAAGGAACGUGAAAUAUCUCAAUCAUAUUUUGUAUUGAAAUGGUAACAUACUGGAUAUAUUCGAUUAAAUGAAACAUCAAAUUUAGCUUCACCUUUUCUUUUUACUUUUUCAAUGCAACUGAUAGAAAAUUUUAUAUUACGUGUGGCUCACAUUAUAUUUCUAUUGGGCAGUGCUGUUUUAGAAUAAUCCUGAAAGUCCUGUCUACAUCCACCUUAAUGCACGCACUGUGAUGUCCAUAAGUUGAUAUUUUCUGGUAACAGUGAUUGUCAACACUUCAACCAAGAAACCUAGUGGGCCUAGAAUCAGUUCAGAGGUUAAAUUCCCAAGGUCAGAGUUAGACCAAGAGGCAGAAUCAGGUGCUCAGGAUGACUAGCUUGAAGAAUAAGGUCAUAGAAAGGUCAUAAUGGCUUCCCAGGAACAGAUUUAGGUAGCACAGUCAGGAGCCAAGAGCAUGGAGAUGAAGGAUCAGGUGGUCAUGAGUGUAAAGAAACUUCCUCCUGCAUGCCCAGAGCUUUUAUGUUGUUCCUACUGGGCCAGGAACUAAUUCUAGAAUGGCUUACCCAGGUAUCCGAGCGACAGAAGAUAAUUGGAAACACCUGGCUGAAGUAGGUGGCUUGGCACGCUCCAGGAAACAACCACUUCUGGGAAUGUGACUCUACCACCCCUCCCAUAAGGGGGAGAGUCUGUUUCCCCUUUGUUUGAAUUUGGGCUGAUCCUGUCGCCAAUGCGUGCGGAGGAAGUGAACUGGACAGCUUCCAGGCCAAGGCCUUAGGAUGCUUUGUGGCUUUUGUUUUGCCACCUUGGAAGCAGCCACCACGUAAAGAAGCAUCGUCUAGACUAAUGAACAAUGUCAGAACGCUUAGCUGGAGAAUGGCCACGUGGAGGAGAACUGAGGUGCAUCCAGCACCCAGCACCAGACCUGUGAGGGAGGCCAUCUUGGCCCCACUGCCCCAGUCAGUCCGCCUUGGCCAUCACCACCGGGAGCAGAGAGGAACUGUCCUCUGAGCCCUCUUGAGUUCCUGCACACUGAAUCACAAACAAUCAAAAGGCUGCAGCCAGCCGGGCAUGGUGGCUCAUGCCUGUAAUCCCAGCACCUUGGGAGGCCGAGGCGGGCAGAUCACCUGAGGUCAGGAGUUCAAGACCAGCCUGACCAACAUGGUGAAACCCUCUCUCCACUAAAAUAAAACACACACAAAAAUUAGCUGGA